CCCUUAGAUGUUCUGGGCUGCACGCGCGCUACACUGAUGCGCUCAACGAGUUUAUGACCUUGCCCGGAAGGGUUGGGUAAUCUUCUUAAAACGCAUCGUGAUGGGGAUAGAUUAUUGCAAUUGUUAAUCUUGAACGAGGAAUUCCUAGUAAACGCGAGUCAUCAGCUCGCAUUGAUUACGUCCCUGCCCUUUGUACACACCGCCCGUCGCACCUACCGAUUGAAUGGUUCGGUGAAGAUCUCGGACUUCGAUAUUUAUUCUUUAUUGAGUUUAUAUUGUGGGAAGUUAUCUAAACCUCAUCAUUUAGAGGAAGGUGAAGUCGUAACA
rnacentral:rRNA from 1 species